AUUAUGUUCUCUUCUUUUUGUUACGGUUAGACUGUUCUUUCUCUGUCUUUCCUCUGUAUUGAAAAGUACCUUGAGCUACAUUCUUAUGUUUGAAAUUUGCUACAUAAAUAAAGCGGACAGUUUAAAUAUAUAGUUUCUGGAAGUUUCGGUUGCGGGAACAGUAUAGGAGGCAGUACAGGGACAUUGUUGUAUGGACUUGAGGAGCCCCAAACAACACGAUUAUUUAAAGACUGAACUUGCGAAGGGGCUUAAAAAUAAUCAACAUUUUCAAUUUCCUGGUAGUGGUGUGACUGAUCUGCAGCGAGAGACAUAGUAAACGAUUCCACGACAUCCUCGUUCUAGUGCAGGGUUUCUCAAACCAUGGGGCAGGCCCCUGGUGCACUGGCUUCUGAGCCAGGCCCCAAAAUAAAGUCAUAUUAUUGACUGUUUAAACCUGCGCCUCAAAUUUCAGAUUACUCUGAAAACGGAAUGGAAACGCACACCUACUUAUUUAGGUCAAUGUUAAUUUUGGUAUCCUACUUAAAGCCCUGUAAGUAUUAGCUAACUAUUUAUUUGUAAAGUACAGCAGGGGGGAAAUUACAUGGUAAUACUUUACAAUAAGGGUAUAUUAAUUAAGCUUUAAUUGACAAUAGUUAAUUCAGUAAUAAGCAGGCACGGCGCCAGGAUUCCAGUUAUGGUUUGGCCCUGUAAGUAUUAGCUAACUAUUUAUUUGUAAAGUACAGCAGGGGGGAAAUUACAUGGUAAUACUUUACAAUAAGGGUAUAUUAAUUAAGCUUUAAUUGACAAUAGUUAAUUCAGUAAUAAGCAGGCACGGCGCCAGGAUUCCAGUUAUGGUUUGGGUUACCCUCCUAUUCUGUGUUUUAAUGCGGUUGAUACUGGGAAAAGAUGUGUUCAACUGUACAGGAUGUCAUUGGCAGUGUUAUCAGAGCAUGUCUGGAACUGUCUGCUGAACUUUUGCAGAAACAUCAACAAAGACAAAAACAGUAUUUUUUUCAAUUAAAAAAUGAAUAUUUAGGCUAUUUAAUCACAAAUUAUGAGAUUGUUUGCCGAUUUUUAAUAAUUCUUGCCAAAACUUUAAAUAUAUUAAACUUUUUUUUUUUGAAGAACAAAACUUUUGGGUGGGCCUGUUGAACAGUGGGUGGUCCUAGGUCCACCCAUAACGCCGUAACUGUUGUUUAUUCCAUACUUAUUAUCUGUAUGGAAUAGUUCACACUGUUAACUGGUCAUCAUAGCGAAUUAUAAAACGGACAGUUCCGGUACCUUAUAUCAAUUGAGGAACUACAUAACUUGGCGGAAGAAGAAGUUUUCAAUAAAUUAUAACAUUUUAUAUUGCUCUGUGACUAUUUUGUGAAAUCGAACUAGGUAGAAUAAAGGUACCGUUUUAGUAACCGUCUUUUAAAAGAAGUGAAUUGAAAAUAUUGAAUUGUAAUAAGGGUUAGGCCUAAAAAAAUUUUGUUUGGUUCCGGUUUCCGACCGACCCUGUCAAUUUAUGUGCGACCCAAAUUAUUUUAUGAGUUUUAUAAAAAAAAAAAUAUAUAUAUAUAUAUAUAUAUAUUUUUUUUUUUAAUGUAAUUACGUUUUGGUACAGCACCUCUAUAAUUACGUUUUGGUACAGCACCUCUUCAUUCUGUACAAGGAUGAGCGAAUUUUCUCGUUUUUAAAUGAAAACAACCUACCUAUCAUUCGCUGCCGCUGGAAAAAAUAAAAUAAAAAAAUAAAAUAAAUUCCCUACCUACCCAUGACCUCAACUGACAACCAACAGGAACCAAACUUUUUUUUUUUUUAGGCCUUAGGGGGUUAGUAAUGGGCUACCCUCUAGCCCCCUCCUUCCAGCUUGGACUGAUCUGCCAGAUCGCCCUUCUGCCAGAUGGUCACCAGGAAAGGGAAGCACUUCAACAUCCCCUCCUGGAGAGGGGUUUCCGGGGGAACACCUGGACACAGAAAUCCGACCCCACUCCCUGGGACUCCCUGGGCGUGGAUUGGUAGACCGACGUGACGUCAUAGCGGAGGCCGCAGUCGUCGGGGAGCAUGGUCGGACCUUGGUGUGCGUUCAGUGUCCCCUCGACAGACCCGAUCCCAUUCACCGUCAGGUCCACGUGCGUGACCACAUAUUGAUCCACGGGCAUGAGCACAAACGCUUGCUGCAGGUGCUCCCCCGCCGUGCACUUUAAAUCCAGCGGCCAGCAGUAAUCCGUGUGGUCUUCAGAGGGGAAACUGGUGUUAGAAUUUGCACACAUUUUUGCCCUCGUGCAAAAUACGUUUGAUUAAAUGCAUGCAAUAUAUUAUUUUAUUUGAUUAAAUCCAUCACUGAUGGAGGGAAACUACACUAAUAUCUCAUCAAGGCCCUAUCUGAUCUUCUUUAGCCC
ensembl:lncRNA